AAUGCCAACAAAAAAUUAGCAAUCACAAAUCCCAUAACUAAAAGAGAAAAUGCCACCAAUAGAUUAUCACAAAAAACAACCAAUUAAACAACAACCAAAUCUCGCUUGAAUAAUUAGAAAAUCCAGAACUCAUCAUUUUUAUGAAAACACACUUGUAAGCACUCUCAAAGUGAAAAUUGUAACUUGCUUCCGUAAGUGACACAAAAUAAGUUUCUGAAAACAGCUAACAAAAUCUUACCCUUUACAUUCAUCAAUCCUAUACAAGUACUCAAAUCAAAUAUCAAAAGCCCAAACCUCAGUCUCAAUAACAUACUUCAACCUUAUAAUUACAGUCACUAUUCUUACAUAGGUCUUUCGCAUCAAAAACCCACCAAUCCAUUUUCAAUAACAAUCCUAAAAAAAAAAAUCAAGAACACAACUUUAUAAGCAAAACAUCACAUUAAAAAACAACCCACCAUAAGAAUCUUCAAAACAAACUACAGAAAUUAACAAAACGCCACACUCACUUGCAUUGAUCUUCCACAUUAUCAAGAGCCCAUAUUCUUACAUGGGUCUUUCGCAUCAUCAAAACCCCACAAUCCACUUUCAAUAACAAUCCAAUAAAAGCAUCAAGAAUACAACUUUGUAAACAAAACAUCACAUUAACAACCAACCCAGCAUAAAAAUCUUCAAGAAAAACUACAGAUAUUAACAAAAUGUCACACUCACUUGCAUUUAUCUUCCACAUUAUCAAGAACCCGUAUCUCAUUUUCAAUAACAAUCCACUUCAAAUACUAAGAUCAAAACUUUAUCAACAAAACAAACAUAGCAAAAAAAAAA